UCCCUGGCGGUCCAAUGGCUAAGACUCUCUGCUCCCAAUGCAGUGGGGCCCGGGUUCAAUUCCUGGUCAGGGAA
rnacentral:tRNA from 1 species